CUUUUGAGUGUCUUCUGAAGACCUAUGGUUUCCUGACACCUGAUUUCUGGAGAGAAACCCGCUUCUCCAAGUCUCCCUUCCAGGAGUAUACCGAUCUUUUAGCUAAGCCUACAAAAGCUAUCAUUCACGAAGACCUCGAGAGAGUUGAAGCCUGAUUGCCCCUCCCCUUGUUUUUUCCCCAGAGAAGGGAGUCAUUAUGUGGAGCAUAGCUUGUUUAGGUUUUUAAGACACUUUCCUUCUAUCCUUGUUGUUUCUUGUGUUCGGGAUUUUGAGAUGAAUAUGUUUGGCAUUACGUGCCGUCUCAAACAAUGGUUAUGGUUUUUGGUGGUUAAAUUUUACAUUUUGAUUGAUCUUUGGUGAAUUGCCUGUAUCAAUCUUAAAUUUUCUCAAUCUAAUCAUUUUGGCUGUUUCUUUGUUGAAGAAAAUGAGAUCCAUCUCGGUGGGAAAACAUCUAGGAGGGAUUGACUAAAUGUUUCAAGAACACUUGUAAGAAACUCAAGCACAUUCUUAUGUGCUUGAAUGGAGUGAUUACUUUUUAUAAAAUAAAGUUUCAAAUUAUUUUAAUUUCAUAUGUAAACUUUAUUCUAUGUAUUUAGAAAAUACAAAAUAGUAAGUAUUACUUUUAUAUAUUAAGCAAAAAUUUUAUUUUUCUAUCACUAAUUAGGCUGUAAUUUUCUUUUACCCUAAGAUUCUUUUAGUAUUAAACAUUUGAUAAAAUUUAUUAUAAGAAUUUUAAUACUAUAUGAUACAUAAAUUUUACGUUAUUUUUAUUAAUUUCCAAAAAAUAUUGAUUAUUGAUUAUUAAUAAUUCCAUAAUAUAAACACAUUUUUUUUAACACAUAAUUAACAUAUUUUUAUUUAUUUUUAACAACUUAUAAAUGUCAUAAACCCAUAAGUCUAAUAGGCUUAUAAGCUGAAUAAACUCUGCCGUCGGCCCAUUAGCUUCGGCCCAUUAAUACCUGAUGAUUCUUGUCCAGCUAAGUGACUUCCGAUUGCACACAUAUUUAAGCUGAAAACCCUAGUUCGUGCUGAAGAAAACCCUCGCUGCCGUCUCUUCUACAGAAAAAUCUAUACUCACCUCGCCCGCGUAUCCUGCCUCACGAACACUCGUAACUAUGGCAGACAGAGGGGCGGCGGGAGGCGACAGGGGAGGAUUCCGUCGCGGCUUUGGCGGAGGCCCCCGCGGAGGCCGUGGUGGUCGUCGCCGCCCGAGGAAGGAAGAGGAAGAGAAGUGGGUACCCGUCACGAAGCUAGGACGCCUCGUAAGGGAAGGUAAGAUCCGCUCAUUGGAGCAAAUCUAUCUCCACUCCCUCCCUAUCAAGGAGCACCAGAUCAUCGACCAACUGGUCGGUCCUUCCUUGAAAGAUGAGGUUAUGAAGAUCACCCCGGUCCAGAAGCAGACUCGGGCAGGCCAGCGUACCAGGUUCAAGGCCUUUGUUGUCGUCGGUGACGGGAACGGGCAUGUAGGUUUAGGUGUUAAGUGCUCGAAAGAGGUGGCCACGGCCAUCAGAGGCGCCAUUAUUCUCGCUAAGUUAUCUGUUAUUCCUGUAAGGAGAGGGUACUGGGGAAACAAGAUCGGGAAGCCUCAUACAGUACCGUGUAAGGUAACUGGCAAGUGUGGAUCGGUCACGGUCAGGAUGGUGCCGGCCCCUAGAGGUGCUGGAAUCGUGGCUGCUCGGGUGCCCAAGAAAGUGCUUCAAUUUGCCGGGAUUGAGGAUGUGUUUACCUCCUCCAGGGGCUCUACUAAAACUCUUGGUAACUUUGUCAAGGUAUAGCUCAUUGCAUCGUUUUUUCUUUUCUUCUUGUUGUUUAUGUGAAUUAUUUACGUUUUAUGAAUUGGUUCGGUCGCUGUUUGCUUGUGUUAAUUACGAAAAUUGUUUGUUGAUUACAGUGUUUUUUUAUUAGAUAUCUGAUAUGCACUUCUUUUGUAUCUUGGACAUGUUUUGUCAAAUGUUGUUGCGUGUAAGAAUCACGGGUUUGAUUUGCGACUUAUUUAUUCCUCAGCUGAUUUUGAAAUUGAUUAUUUUAGUGUUUAUAUUAAGUGUUAGGUCACUGAAAAUAUGUUAUUUGUUUUGAGUCUCUAAAUCUGUGUGUCAAAUUUUGUUUUCAAGGGUGUUGCUUCUCUAUCAGAUGAAAAUUAAGGGUGUUUUCUUCUUUUGUUAGCAUGGUGAUGCCUUGAUUACUCUUUAUGGCUGGUUACCUAUAUGCUUAUAAAGAGAGAAUUUAUAUACAUAUAUGCACUUUAAUGAAGAUCUGUUGUACCUAUGGAGGGUAGGCAAUUCAGAGAAUAUCCUAAAAGCAAUCCAUGAUCUGGGGUUUUAUUGUAAACAAAUUCCAAUUUGACGAAAAUGAGAUGAAAUCUACUUGGAAAGAUGCUUCAGAGGUGAACUAUGGAGGUGCUUUAUUUGGCAUGGUUUUCUUGGCCUUAGAAAAUCAUAUAGAAGGGGAAUAUUUUUUGUUAAGCUAUGCAGCAUAGAAGGAUCUGCAUGCACCGCUGCAAUCGAUUGCUCUUUUGUGUAAUUCACUGGAAAUGGUGGUGCUGGCGGGCUUUGUGGCUCAUGAACUUCAGUCUUGGAGGAGGAUUUUUCUUUGAGAAAAAAAAACAAAAAAUCUGAAUGGGUUGUUACCGGUGUUGAUUUUUCAGCCUGAGUUGAGAAGAGUUGAAUGCUUUUGGCGGGUAUAGGGAACUAUGUAUAUAGCCAGACCUUUAGAUGUAUGCUCAUAGUUUUACGUGCUCAGAAUGCCUUUACAAAUCAAUUUUUCUUUUACCUGAGAAAAAUACUAGGUAGAAACUUGAGAUAAUAUCUUCAUUGUUGUUUGCUACACAUGCCAUACAAGGAUAUUAUUCCCUGAAGUUGAAAUGCUAUGAUUACAAUGCAUUUUACAAAAAUGCUCCUAGCUUGCGAAGUACGGAAGCUCUCUUUUAUCUUAGGUUGUUAUGAUCCACUCAUUUUGAUAAACUCCUCAUACUUCUAAAUCUUAUUUAUUGAAUUCAACUAUCAUAUAAUGCUUAAUUAUUUUGAAUGCAGGCCACUUUUGAGUGCCUUCUGAAGACCUAUGGUUUCUUGACACCUGAUUUCUGGAGAGAGACCCGCUUUACCAAGUCUCCCUUCCAGGAGUAUACUGAUCUGUUAGCCAAGCCUACAAAAGCUAUUAUUCACGAAGACGUUGAGAGAGUUGAAGCCUGAUCUCUUUUUUUCCCAGAGAAGGAAAGUCAUUAUGCGGAGCAUAGCUAGUUUAGGUUAUUAAGAUACUUGCCUUCCAUCU
rnacentral:lncRNA from 1 species